rnacentral:tRNA from 1 species
GAGGAUAUAGCUCAAGUGGUAGAGUGUGUGCUUAGCAUGCACGAGGUCCUGGGUUCAAUCCCAGCACCUCCA